rnacentral:rRNA from 1 species
UACAGAGGUCUCAAGCGUUGUUCGGAUUCAUUGGGCGUAAAGGGUGCGCAGGUGGCGCGGUAAGUCGGGUGUGAAAUCUCGGAGCUUAACUCCGAAACUGCAUUCGAUACUGCGGUGCUUGAGGACUGGAGAGGAGACUGGAAUUCAUGGUGUAGCAGUGAAAUGCGUAGAGAUCAUGAGGAAGACCAGUGGCGAAGGCGGGUCUCUGGACAGUUCCUGACACUGAGGCACGAAGGCCAGGGGAGCAAACGGG